UUCCGGUUGAUCCUGCCGGAGGUCACUGCUAUCGGGGUUCGAUUAAGCCAUGCGAGUCGAGAGGGUUCGGCCCUCGGCGUGUUACUCAGUAACACGUGGAUAACCUGCCCUAAGGAAGGGGAUAACCUCGGGAAACUGAGGAUAAUACCCUAUAGGUUACAGACGCUGGAAUGCCCUGUAACCGAAAGUUCCGGCGCCUUAGGAUGGAUCUGCGGCCGAUUAGGUUGUUGUUGGGGUAACGGCCCAACAAGCCGAUAAUCGGUACGGGUUGUGGGAGCAAGAGCCCGGAGUUGGAUUCUGAGACACGAAUCCAGGCCCUACGGGGCGCAGCAGGCGCGAAAACUUUACAAUGCGGGAAACCGUGAUAAGGGAACCUCGAGUGCCUGUAUAUGCAGGCUGUCCAGGUGUCUAAAAAACACCUGAAGAAAGGGCCGGGCAAGACCGGUGCCAGCCGCCGCGGUAAUACCGGCGGCUCGAGUGGUGGCCACUUUUAUUGGGCUUAAAGCGUUCGUAGCUGGGUUGUUAAGUCUCUUGGGAAAUCUGGCGGCUUAACCGUCAGGCGUCCAAGGGAUACUGGCAAUCUUGGAACCGGGAGAGGUGAGGGGUACUUCGGGGGUAGGAGUGAAAUCCUGUAAUCCUCGAGGGACCACCUGUGGCGAAGGCGCCUCACCAGAGCGGCUUCGACAGUGAGGGACGAAAGCUGGGGGAGCAAACCGGAUUAGAUACCCGGGUAGUCCCAGCCCUAAACGAUGCGCGUUAGGUGUAUCGGUGACCACGAGUCACCGAGGUGCCGAAGGGAAACCGUGAAACGUGCCGCCUGGGAAGUACGGUCGCAAGGCUGAACUUAAAGGAAUUGGCGGGGGAGCACCACAACGGGUGGAGCCUGCGGUUUAAUUGGACUCAACGCCGGGAAGCUUACCGGAUAAGA
rnacentral:rRNA from 1 species